GACGAACGCUGGCGGCGUGCCUAAUACAUGCAAGUAGAACGCAGUUGCGAACGGGUGAGUAACGCGUAGGUAACUGCCUGGUAGCGGGGGGUAACUAUUGGAAACGAUAGCUAAUACCGCAUACUACCAGAUGGACCUGCGUUGUAUUAGCUAGUUGGGGAGGUCACGGCUCACCAAGGCAACGAUACAUAGCCGAGCUGGUAGGGUGAGCGGCCACACUGGGACAGGGGCACGGCCCAGACCUCUACGGGGGGCAGGAGUAGGGAAUCUUCGGCAAUGGGGGGAAACCUGGCCGAGCAACGCCGCGUGAGUGAAGAAGGUUUUCGGAUCGUAAAGCUCUGUUGUUAAGGAAGCGGUACUUAACCAGAAAGGGACGGCUAACUACGUGCCAGCAGCCGCGGUAAUAC
rnacentral:rRNA from 1 species